rnacentral:rRNA from 1 species
AUAUCAAUAAGCGGAGGAAAAGAAACUAACAAGGAUUCCCCUAGUAACUGCGAGUGAAGCGGGAAGAGCUCAAAUUUAAAAUCUGGCGCAAGCCCGAGUUGUAAUCUAUAGAAGCGUUUUCGGCCGUUGGACCUGGACAAGUCCCUUGGAACAGGGCGUCAUAGAGGGUGAGAAUCCCGUGCUUGCCAGGCUGCCAACGUCCUUGUGAUACGCUUUCGAAGAGUCGAGUUGUUUGGGAAUGCAGCUCAAAACGGGUGGUAAAUUCCAUCUAAAGCUAAAUAUUGGCGAGAGACCGAU